rnacentral:pre_miRNA from 1 species
AUAGUACUCCCUCCGUUCCGAAUUACUUGUCUUAGAUUUGUCUAGAUACGGAGGUAUCUAGCACUAAAAUGAGUCUAGAUACAUCCGUAUCUAGACAAAUCCAAGACAAGUAAUUCGGAACGGAGGGAGUAUUUU